rnacentral:lncRNA from 1 species
GUUGGUAAUGCGGAGCUGUUUUCGUUUGCUUUCCUAUGCCGUUUGUAUCGAGUGGCAGUAAGGCGAAUUCCAAGUGAGGCAUUACAUUUCCGGAGUAUACAGGAGUGAUGCAAGUAGGCCGAUAUACGGCUGCUAGCCGCUGUCGGCCCCCGACGGACGCGAGGCCGCGCCGGCUGGAAUGCGUUGUAUCAAAUGAUUGAGCCAUUAAAUACGCUGCGACUCCAGCGUUGAAACGAUGAAGCACAGUACUUCUUGAGCGGGUGCAACAUGAUGAGAUUUGGUUCGCCUCAGGGUCCGCAAAUAGUUGCGUCGGUUUUGCGUCGCCAUGUGAAGAGAUGAUUACCAACCUUCCGCGGCUUCGCUGCACUGCAGCGCAACAGCUUAGUGUCCGCGCGCGAGGGCCUUUGAAACUUUAGUCGUUUGGCAUUCACAGAGGACCAGUAGGCAUCAGGUGCACCUCGUUCUGUGUUUAGUUAGACGGCACGAGAAACCAUUGUCGAGUGCGGGCUCUUCACGUUACGUACUGAGACGUGGUCGGUGACUGCGUGCUCUGCACGAGUCGAACGCCGGUCUGUCUCUCUAAUAGUCUCACGGAGGCCCCAUUAACUGCAUGAUUAGCCAGUUGUCGCGCUUGACUCAACUUCCACAGACUCAUGUACACUUCAUCGUCUGUUUGACGUUUAUGUGUGAUGCCCGCAACAUACUAUAUUUUGACAUCUGCCUACGUAUUGGCGACCAGUCGGUGUGCCCGGAUACUAUCCUGAGUGAGUCGCUGCGUCGUGCACAUGCCACAAUCGCUUGACAGUACCUCCCGGAUGCCUUCAUUGUCUUGUUCGCUUGUACCUUGAUCAGGCGGGUGGACUUGACGGCAUUUACAUAUCAUCUCAUGCAUCCGCAACGCGCCCUUCCUUUACGAGCCUGUCUUUAACACAUGGCCCGAUAUUCCCACAGCUACCCUGCGACUCAGUAGCAGGAGCUGCUAUCAGGGUCACUUUUGCUACGAAUGUAACCGAAAGCUCUCCGGCCUCUCCAGAUAACGGUUAUCGAACGUGCC